GCCUGGUUAGACUUGGAUGGCUGACCGCCUGGGAAUACCAGGU
rnacentral:rRNA from 10 species